UGCGCAGGUGGGUUGGCAAGUUCGAUGUGAAAGCCCCGGGCUUAACCCGGGAAUGGCAUUGGAUACUGUUGAUCUGGAGGGUCGGAGGGGGGACUGGAAUUCUUGGUGUAGCAGUGAAAUGCGUAGAUAUCAAGAGGAACACCAGUGGCGAAGGCGAGUCCCUGGACGAUACCUGACACUGAGGCACGAAAGCCAGGAGCAAACA
rnacentral:rRNA from 1 species